rnacentral:rRNA from 1 species
GGUAGCUUGCUACUGGACCUAGCGGCGGACGGGUGAGUAAUACUUAGGAAUCUGCCUAUUAGUGGGGGACAACGUUCCGAAAGGAGCGCUAAUACCGCAUACGCCCUACGGGGGAAAGCAGGGGAUCUUCGGACCUUGCGCUAAUAGAUGAGCCUAAGUCGGAUUAGCUAGUUGGUGGGGUAAAGGCCUACCAAGGCGACGAUCUGUAGCGGGUUUGAGAGGAUGAUCCGCCACACUGGGACUGAGACACGGCCCAGACUCCUACGGGAGGCAGCAGUGGGGAAUAUUGGACAAUGGGCGCAAGCCUGAUCCAGCCAUGCCGCGUGUGUGAAGAAGGCCUUAUGGUUGUAAAGCACUUUAAGCGAGGAGGAGGCUUACCUAGCUAAUACCUAGGAUAAGUGGACGUUACUCGCAGAAUAAGCACCGGCUAACUCUGUGCCAGCAGCCGCGGUAAUACAGAGGGUGCAAGCGUUAAUCGGAAUUACUGGGCGUAAAGCGCGCGUAGGUGGCCAUUUAAGUCAAAUGUGAAAUCCCCGAGCUUAACUUGGGAAUUGCAUUCGAUACUGGAUGGCUAGAGUAUA